rnacentral:rRNA from 1 species
GACGAACGCUGGCGGCGUGCUUAACACAUGCAAGUCGAACGGAAAGGCCCUGCUUUUGUGGGGUGCUCGAGUGGCGAACGGGUGAGUAACACGUGAGUAACCUGCCCUUGACUUUGGGAUAACUUCAGGAAACUGGGGCUAAUACCGGAUAGGAGCUCCUGCUGCAUGGUGGGGGUUGGAAAGUUUCGGCGGUUGGGGAUGGACUCGCGGCUUAUCAGCUUGUUGGUGGGGUAGUGGCUUACCAAGGCUUUGACGGGUAGCCGGCCUGAGAGGGUGACCGGCCACAUUGGGACUGAGAUACGGCCCAGACUCCUACGGGAGGCAGAAGUGGGGAAUAUUGCACAAUGGGCGGAAGCCUGAUGCAGCAACGCCGCGUGCGGGAUGGCGGCCUUCGGGUUGUAAACCGCUUUCGCCUGUGACGAAGCGUGAGUGACGGUAAUGGGUAAAGAAGCACCGGCUAACUACGUG